rnacentral:tRNA from 1 species
GGCCCCAUAGCUCAGCCGGUUAGAGCGUCGUGCUAAUAACGCGAAGGUCGUGGGUUCGAUCCCCCCUGGGGCCA